rnacentral:misc_RNA from 1 species
UACGGAGGGUGCGAGCGUUAAUCGGAAUUACUGGGCGUAAAGCGCGCGUAGGCGGCGUGAUAAGCCGGUUGUGAAAGCCCCGGGCUCAACCUGGGAACGGCAUCCGGAACUGUCAGGCUAGAGUGCAGGAGAGGAAGGUAGAAUUCCAGGUGUAGCGGUGAAAUGCAUAGAUACCAUAAAGAACACCGAUAGUGAAGACGGCUUACUAGGCCGUAACUGACGCUGAGGCACGAAAGCGUGGGGAGCAAACAGG